AGCCUGAUGGAGACUCUGGGAGGAAGAAUUAAGGGUGGACCUGGACUUUGAUCUUUGGUCUCUCAGUGAUGAAGGAAACAGAGAAGAAAACACUUCAAACUGAGACCUGCAACAUAGAAAUAAGAAGAAUAACUCUUAAGAUGGUAUUUAGAUUGCUUACGAAGAUCUUAGCAGCUGCCCACAGUCCCUAAUGGAGGGUGUAGGCCCUGACUAAGCAGGUCAGAGCCAAGUCAUUUUCCUGGAAGCAGGAAUUAGCAGAGACCAGAAAGGAGAGUGUCAAAGAGGAUGACCUUGGACUUAAUUCCGCCAGUGGAAGGCAUGUCGGUGUGCCAAUUUCAAGCCUAGACCUCGAGAGGUCUUGAAUGCUUCUGCUUUCUAUCUCUUGGAGCUUUGUCCAAGCACCAGGUGAAUGCACAAACCCAGGCCAGCCUGUUGGUGAAAGAGAGACCAAACGGAACAGAGUUGAGCUGUGUCAUCCUAGAGCAUCCUACACCAGCCAACCCCAAGCUAACUCAGCACCGGACUGAGCCAGAGGAAAUCAGAACCUGCCUAGCUGAGUCCAUCCCACGUUGCCAACCUGGAGACC